GAUGAAGAACGCAGCAAAAUGCGAUAAGUAAUGUGAAUUGCAGAAUUCAGUGAAUCAUCGAAUCUUUGAACGCACAUUGCGCCCGCCAGUAUUCUGGCGGGCAUGCCUGUUCGAGCGUCAUUUCAACCCUCAAGCCCUCGGGUUUGGUGUUGGGGAUCGGCGAGCCUUUCUGGCAAGCCGGCCCCGAAAUCUAGUGGCGGUCUCGCUGCAGCCUCCAUUGCGUAGUAGUAAAACCCUCGCAACUGGAACGCGGCGCGGCCAAGCCGUUAAACCCCCAACUUCUGAAUGUUGACCUCGGAUCAGGUAGGGAUACCCGCUGAACUUAAGCAUAUCAAUAAGCGGAGGA
rnacentral:misc_RNA from 1 species